GGUUAAGUUAGAAAGGGCGCACGGUGGAUGCCUUGGCACUAGGAGCCGAUGAAGGACGGGACGAACACCGAUAUGCUUCGGGGAGCUGUAAGCAAGCUUUGAUCCGGAGAUUUCCGAAUGGGGAAACCCACCACUCGUAAUGGAGUGGUAUCCAUAUCUGAAUACAUAGGAUAUGAGAAGGCAGACCCGGGGAACUGAAACAUCUAAGUACCCGGAGGAAGAGAAAGCAAAUGCGAUUCCCUGAGUAGCGGCGAGCGAAACGGGAUCAGCCCAAACCAAGAGGCUUGCCUCUUGGGGUUGUAGGACACUCUGUACGGAGUUACAAAGGAACGAGGUAGAUGAAGAGGUCUGGAAAGGCCCGCCAUAGGAGGUAACAGCCCUGUAGUCAAAACUUCGUUCUCUCCUGAGUGGAUCCUGAGUACGGCGGAACACGUGAAAUUCCGUCGGAAUCCGGGAGGACCAUCUCCCAAGGCUAAAUACUCCCUAGUGACCGAUAGUGAACCAGUACCGUGAGGGAAAGGUGAAAAGCACCCCGGAAGGGGAGUGAAAGAGAUCCUGAAACCGUGUGCCUACAAGUAGUCAGAGCCCGUUAACGGGUGAUGGCGUGCCUUUUGUAGAAUGAACCGGCGAGUUACGAUCCCGUGCAAGGUUAAGCAGAAGAUGCGGAGCCGCAGCGAAAGCGAGUCUGAAUAGGGCGAAUUGAGUACGUGGUCGUAGACCCGAAACCAGGUGAUCUACCCAUGUCCAGGGUGAAGUUCAGGUAACACUGAAUGGAGGCCCGAACCCACGCACGUUGAAAAGUGCGGGGAUGAGGUGUGGGUAGGGGUGAAAUGCCAAUCGAACCUGGAGAUAGCUGGUUCUCUCCGAAAUAGCUUUAGGGCUAGCCUCAAGGUAAGAGUCUCGGAGGUAGAGCACUGAUUGGACUAGGGGCCCCUACCGGGUUACCGAAUUCAGUCAAACUCCGAAUGCCGAUGACUUAUCCUUGGGAGUCAGACUGCGAGUGAUAAGAUCCGUAGUCGAAAGGGAAACAGCCCAGACCGCCAGCUAAGGUCCCAAAGUAUACGUUAAGUGGAAAAGGAUGUGGAGUUGCUUAGACAACCAGGAUGUUGGCUUAGAAGCAGCCACCAUUUAAAGAGUGCGUAAUAGCUCACUGGUCGAGUGACUCUGCGCCGAAAAUGUACCGGGGCUAAACGUAUCACCGAAGCUGCGGACUGUUCUUCGAACAGUGGUAGGAGAGCGUUCUAAGGGCUGUGAAGCAAGACCGGAAGGACUUGUGGAGCGCUUAGAAGUGAGAAUGCCGGUAUGAGUAGCGAAAGAGGGGUGAGAAUCCCCUCCACCGAAUGCCUAAGGUUUCCUGAGGAAGGCUCGUCCGCUCAGGGUUAGUCGGGACCUAAGCCGAGGCCGAAAGGCGUAGGCGAUGGAUAACAGGUUGAUAUUCCUGUACCACCUCCUCACCAUUUGAGCAAUGGGGGGACGCAGGAGGAUAGGGUAAGCGCGGUAUUGGAUAUCCGCGUCCAAGCAGUUAGGCUGGGAAAUAGGCAAAUCCGUUUCCCGUGAAGGCUGAGCUGUGAUGGCGAGCGAAUUAUAGUAGCGAAGUUCCUGAUUCCACACUGCCAAGAAAAGCCUCUAGCGAGGUGAGAGGUGCCCGUACCGCAAACCGACACAGGUAGGCGAGGAGAGAAUCCUAAGGUGAUCGAGAGAACUCUCGUUAAGGAACUCGGCAAAAUGACCCCGUAACUUCGGGAGAAGGGGUGCUCUGUUAGGGUGCAAGCCCGAGAGAGCCGCAGUGAAUAGGCCCAGGCGACUGUUUAGCAAAAACACAGGUCUCUGCGAAGCCGUAAGGCGAAGUAUAGGGGCUGACGCCUGCCCGGUGCUGGAAGGUUAAGAGGAGUGCUUAGCGUAAGCGAAGGUGCGAAUUGAAGCCCCAGUAAACGGCGGCCGUAACUAUAACGGUCCUAAGGUAGCGAAAUUCCUUGUCGGGUAAGUUCCGACCCGCACGAAAGGCGCAACGAUCUGGGCACUGUCUCAACGAGAGACUCGGUGAAAUUAUAGUACCUGUGAAGAUGCAGGUUACCCGCGACAGGACGGAAAGACCCCGUGGAGCUUUACUGCAGCCUGAUAUUGAAUGUUGGUACAGCUUGUACAGGAUAGGUAGGAGCCUUGGAAACCGGAGCGCCAGCUUCGGUGGAGGCAUCGGUGGGAUACUACCCUGGCUGUAUUGACCUUCUAACCCGCCGCCCUUAUCGGGCGGGGAGACAGUGUCAGGUGGGCAGUUUGACUGGGGCGGUCGCCUCCUAAAAGGUAACGGAGGCGCCCAAAGGUUCCCUCAGAAUGGUUGGAAAUCAUUCGCAGAGUGUAAAGGCACAAGGGAGCUUGACUGCGAGACCUACAAGUCGAGCAGGGACGAAAGUCGGGCUUAGUGAUCCGGUGGUUCCGCAUGGAAGGGCCAUCGCUCAACGGAUAAAAGCUACCCCGGGGAUAACAGGCUUAUCUCCCCCAAGAGUCCACAUCGACGGGGAGGUUUGGCACCUCGAUGUCGGCUCAUCGCAUCCUGGGGCUGUAGUCGGUCCCAAGGGUUGGGCUGUUCGCCCAUUAAAGCGGUACGCGAGCUGGGUUCAGAACGUCGUGAGACAGUUCGGUCCCUAUCCGUCGCGGGCGCAGGAAAUUUGAGAGGAGCUGUCCUUAGUACGAGAGGACCGGGAUGGACGCACCGCUGGUGUACCAGUUGUUCUGCCAAGGGCAUCGCUGGGUAGCUAUGUGCGGACGGGAUAAGUGCUGAAAGCAUCUAAGCAUGAAGCCCCCCUCAAGAUGAGAUUUCCCAUUCCGCAAGGAAGUAAGAUCCCUGAAAGAUGAUCAGGUUGAUAGGUCUGAGGUGGAAGUGUGGCGACACAUGGAGCUGACAGAUACUAAUCGAUCGAGGACUUAACCAA
rnacentral:rRNA from 1 species